CCAGACUCCUACGGGAGGCAGCAGUGAGGAAUAUUGGUCAAUGGCCGAGAGGCUGAACCAGCCAAGUCGCGUGAGGGAAGACGGCCCUACGGGUUGUAAACCUCUUUUGUCGGGGAGCAAAGCGAACCACGUGUGGUUCAUUGAGAGUACCCGAAGAAAAAGCAUCGGCUAACUACGUGCCAGCAGCCGCGGUAAUACGUAGGGGGCAAGCGUUAUCCGGAUUUACUGGGUGUAAGGGGAGCGUAGACGGCAGCACAAGUCUGGAGUGAAAUCCCGGGGCUUAACCCCGGAACUGCUUUGGAAACUGUGCGGCUGGAGUGCAGGAGGGGUAAGCGGAAUUCCUAGUGUAGCGGUGAAAUGCGUAGAUAUUAGGAGGAACACCGGUGGCGAAGGCGGCUUACUGGACUGUAACUGACGUUGAGGCUCGAAAGCGUGGGGAGCAAACAGGAUUAGAUCCCCUAGUA
rnacentral:rRNA from 1 species